rnacentral:lncRNA from 1 species
GGGUGGUCAGGUGGACGCAUGGAUGUGUGGAUGUGUGGAUGCAUGAGUGGAGGGAUGGAUCCAUGAAUCUAUAUGCAUGUUAUUGACAGAUGGCAUAAGUCCAUUGGCUAGAUCUAGCCUCUCACUUAUGCACCAAGGCAUUUAGUUUUCUGUGACCAUCUGCUUCCCUUCCCCCAGCUGAGGUUAGCUAUGGUUAUACCCUGUUGAGACCUGCUUUCAAGAGAAAAAUUGCUGCCAAGCUCUGGCUAUCAUCAUGGGAAGGAAGAGGAAAAGGGAAGAAAUAUAUGCUCUCAAGUGCCAACUAUGGAAGUGGGAGGGCAAGGAGAAAGAAGACAUCCCAGAGAGGAGCUUGGAUUUCCUCCAGAAAUUCCAGCCACCUGCCUGCCUAGUGUCUUCUAAAAGCAUCCGCAGACAUCAUAAUAUACAUGCCCAAUGUUCUCCAACUGGAAAUUGCAGGCAAGGUGUAUGACAUUCACUGUAACAAUAUCUGUUUUCUGACCCAUUCCCUUUGUCUUCUAUUAUGCGCUACACAUGCUAGGAGACUACAUCUGGGAAGUGCCUCAUAAGAGGGAAU